rnacentral:tmRNA from 1 species
GGGGGCGACCUGGUUUCGACGUGGUCGGUUCUCCGGCUGAGUUGCGAGCCGAGGUCCCCGGUCGGCCUCGUUAAUCCACCGGGAAACAACACAAAUGCGAAUCGUUCAGAUCUCGCACUCGCUGCCUAGUCUGACUAGCUAGCGACGCCCGUUCUGGCUGGGCCCGAGGCCAGAACCGGCGCUAACCAUCGGGCUUGGCGCAGAGGGAGAGUCAAUCGCCCGACGCGCGACACUUCAGGAUUGACUGGCCCGCCGGUAGGUCGUUCGCCACCGGCCGUCGGGCGAGAUCCAAGGCGAACUACGCUCGUAGACGCUCUGUUCGGUGCGUCCGCGGACGCGGGUUCGAUUCCCGCCGCCUCCAUAA